GUGAAUCAUCGAAUUUUUGAACGCAAAUUGCGCUUUCUUUCGGGAGGCAUGUCUGUUUGAGGGCACCAUUUAAUAAAUAAUGUGCGGGUCGCUAUGUGGCGUGCACACGUUGAUGAGCUUUUCCGAAAAACAAGGUUUUUUUGGUGGUGUAUAAUGAAUAGCGUGGGUUUUUUUUUUCGAUCCUCGUGUAGUAAG
rnacentral:misc_RNA from 1 species